rnacentral:rRNA from 1 species
GACGAACGCUGGCGGCGUGCUUAACACAUGCAAGUCGAACGGUGAUGCUCCAGCUUGCUGGAGUGGAUCAGUGGCGAACGGGUGAGUAACACGUGAGCAACCUGCCCCAGACUCUGGAAUAAGCGCUGGAAACGGCGUCUAAUACUGGAUACGAAACUGGCCCGCAUGGGCAUGGUUUGGAAAGUUUUUCGGUUUGGGAUGGGUUCGCGGCCUAUCAGCUUGUUGGUGAGGUAAUGGCUCACCAAGGCGACGACGGGUAGCCGGCCUGAGAGGGCGACCGGCCACACUGGGACUGAGACACGGCCCAGACUCCUACGGGAGGCAGCAGUGGGGAAUAUUGCACAAUGGGCGAAAGCCUGAUGCAGCGACGCCGCGUGAGGGAUGACGGCCUUCGGGUUGUAAACCUCUUUCAGCAGGGAAGAAGCGAAAGUGACGGUACCUGCAGAAGAAGCACCGGCUAACUACGUG